GUUUCUUGAAGUUACCUCAUGUGGAAAUGUCUUUUAUGUAACGUAAGCUGCCUCUCAAGGAAAGUGUGGACAUUGCUACGGCUUAGCCUGCUACCUGAGCUUGGUGUGGGAUACACAGAAUGAGCUGAGCAGGAACCCCUAGUCCCUGAGCUGCUCAUUGACACCCUGUCUGUUGCUGGCAUCCUGGGGAGGGGAGCUGAUCGUGAUGGCUCACCUAUAAAGCCUGCAGUCUUUGCAGAGAGCUUGCUUUUCUUUCUGCUCUUAGACACAUUGAGGGGUUAGUGCUAGUGCAUGCUGACUGCAGAAUAUGGCAGAAAUCUCACAGUGGAGGCCCUGAGGGAGGAGAGAGUGGUUCAUGCCCUGGGCAAGUGGGGAGCUCAGCUGUCCUAGGAAGCUGUCUGGAGGAGGGCAUUAGCCAUGUCUUGAUCCCCAGCCUUGAGCCACUCAGUAAGAGAGGUGUAAAUUUGACAGGAAGACUGGAUCACUUUGUCUUGAUCUCUGAGAUGGUAAUAUUAACAGUUCAGUUAAAACUUGUUUAUUAUUUUGGUCACAGAAGCUUUGGGAAAUCCAUGUCAGAUGAAUCUUUAGGGGUUCCUUGUUGUCUUUUAGGUAAAUUGUGGUUAGCUGCUUAGACUCUAUUUCUUGUGAAGAUUGAAAUGUACAAGAAGUUACCUCUUCUCUGUGGAAUGCUGCAGUUUUAUUUAAUGGGAAAACUAUUCUCUUACUCCUUCCCUUCUGGGAAGAAAAUGUCCCCUGAGCAAUUGAUGCUUAUGAAAUAAAGCCUUGAAUUUUUGAUUCGGGAAUAGCUUUCAUUGUCCAAAUGACUGCUGGAUAGCCCUGAAUGUUCAUUAUUUUUAUAUAAUAAACAUUUUGCACAUAGGAAAACUCAGUGAGUUUGAUUAUUCUCAGAUGAAGUUUAGACCAGAAAUCACACAGACAGAUGAUAAAGCCAGGGAUCUAAAACGAUCAAUAAACACGAAGAGACCACCAACCAACAAGAAAGGUCUCAGAGCUUAAACCAGAGACUAGAAUACACAGGAAGGUCUCAGAGCUUAAACCAGAGCCUAGAACACACAGGAAGGUCCUGGAGCUUAAACCAGAGCCUAGAACACACAGGAAGGUCUCAGAGCUUAAACCAGAGCCUAGAACACACAGGAAGGUCCCAGAGCUUAAACCAGAGCCUAGAACACACAGGAAGGUCCCGGAGCUUAAACCAGAGCCUAGAACACACAGGAAGGUCCCGGAGCUUAAACCAGAGCCUAGAACACACAGGAAGGUCCCGGAGCUUAAACCAGAGCCUAGAACACACAGGAAGAUCCUGGAGCUUAAACCAGAGCCUAGAACACACAGGAAGGUCCCGGAGCUUAAACCAGAGACUAGAACACACAGGAAGGUCCCAGGGCUUAAACCAGAGCCUAGAACACACAGGAAGGUCCCAGGGCUUAAACCAGAGCCUAGAACACACAGGAAGAUCCUGGAGCUUAAACCAGAGCCUAGAACACACAGGAAGGUCCCGGAGCUUAAACCAGAGCCUAGAACACACAGGAAGGUCCCGGAGCUUAAACCAGAGCCUAGAACACACAGGAAGGUCCCAGGGCUUAAACCAGAGCCUAGAACACACAGAAAGGUCCCGGAGCUUAAACCAGAGCCUAGAACACACAGAAAGGUCUUGGUGCUUAAAUCAGCAACUGCUAUCAAACAAAGAAGCCAAAGUUCCACAGACAAACCGUGUCUCAAAAAGUCAAAACCAAGCCAAAUCAAAACAAUUAUUAACACGCAGGGAAGGUCCAAGAAUGUAAACCAGGGACUAUUUAAACAGUCAGGGAGGAACUUUGUUCAAACACAGUUGGAUGUCAGAACUAAGAACUCAAGAUUCUGUAAACAUUUCAU
ensembl:lncRNA